rnacentral:rRNA from 1 species
CUUCCUACGGGGGGCAGCAGUGGGGAAUAUUGCACAAUGGGGGGAACCCUGAUGCAGCGACGCCGCGUGAGUGAAGAAGUAUUUCGGUAUGUAAAGCUCUAUCAGCAGGGAAGAAGAUGACGGUACCUGACUAAGAAGCCCCGGCUAACUACGUGCCAGCAGCCGCGGUAAUACGUAGGGGGCAAGCGUUAUCCGGAUUUACUGGGUGUAAAGGGAGCGUAGACGGCAGGGCAAGUCUGAAGUGAAAGGCAGGGGCUUAACCCCUGAACUGCUUUGGAAACUGCCAUGCUAGAGUGCUGGAGAGG